rnacentral:rRNA from 1 species
GCCCGGCUAAUUCGUGCCAGCAGCCCGGUAAUACGGAGGUGCAAGCGUAAUCGGAUUACUGGCGUAAAGCGCACGCAGGCGGUCUGUCAAGUCGGAUGUAAAUCCCCGGGCUCAACCUGGAACUGCAUUCGAAACUGGCAGGCUAGAGUCUGUAGAGGGGGUAGAAUUCCAGGUGUAGCGGUGAAUGCGUAGAGAUCUGGAGGAAUACCGGUGGCGAAGGCGGCCCCCUGGACAAAGACUGACGCUCAGGUGCGAAAGCGGAUUAGAU